rnacentral:tRNA from 1 species
UGGGGUGUGACUCAGUGAUAGAGUACUUGUCUGACAUGCAUGAGCCCCUAGGUUCAAUCCCCAGUAGCACAA